GCGAAAACUUUACAAUGCUGGCAACAGCGAUAAGGGAACCUCGAGUGCCAGGUUACAAAUCUGGCUGUCGAGAUGCCUAAAAAGCAUUUCAUAGCAAGGGCCGGGCAAGACCGGUGCCAGCCGCCGCGGUAACACCGGCGGCUCGAGUGGUAACCGUUAUUAUUGGGUCUAAAGGGUCUGUAGCCGGCCGGAUAAGUCUCUUGAGAAAUCUGGCAGCUUAACUGUCAGGCUUUCAGGAGAUACUGUCUGGCUCGAGACCGGGAGAGGUGAGAGGUACUUCAGGGGUAGGGGUGAAAUCUUGUAAUCCUUGAAGGACCAUCAGUGGCGAAGGCGUCUCACCAGAACGGACCUGACGGCAAGGGACGAAAGCUAGGGGCACGAACC
rnacentral:rRNA from 1 species